ACAAAAUAUUAAAAUAAGAUUUUAAAAUAUGGAGUUGCAGAAUAGGUGAAACAAUUCGGAAAAGAACAAAGUUGGAGGACUCACACUGCCUGAUAUUAAGAGUUACUCUGAAAGUGGUCUGGAACUCAACCUAUCGUAUCUCUAUGGAAUACCCGUAUACAAUUUGAUGAGUCUGACAUACACCUUUGAAACAACAAUCAAGGUCACAGAGCCAUGGCAAUGUUCUCUGAACAAUAAAGAACUGAUUAUGCUACAAACUCUGAGAAUGCAAAAGUGGACCUUUUCCCAACUUGACCCAACAUUCAGGAACCCUCUGCCCAUUUGCUAAGUGCAUGAGUACUGUCGCAUCUCACUUCAUAUGAGCCUCACUGAUGGGACUUGACAAAUGUCUCCAUGUCAGUAUCCAGGCUGCCAAUGAUUUGGACCCAAUUUAUAUCACAAACUGCAUAUAAAUUAAAAGAUCGAUUGACAGGGAUCCAUGUCUUCAAUUAACCUUGUAAAAUUUUUAUUUAACUAGUUAAGUUUGUGUGGCUUAUGGGGUGAUCAGUUUGCAACGUGUACAAAUGUCAUAUCACUAUGUUGUCCACUUGAAACUAAUAUACGAUGGUAUGUUAAUUAUACUUCAAUAAAAAAAGAUGGCAAAUGUAAAGUGGAAAAAAAGGUAAUAAUUAAAUGAUAUUAUCUACCUCAGAGGAGUUUUGUGAGAAUGAAGUGAAAUAAUGCAUUUAAUACACCAAACACAAUACCUAACACACUG